GACGAACGCUGGCGGCGUGCUUAACACAUGCAAGUCGAACGGAAAGGCCCUGCUUGCAGGGUACUCGAGUGGCGAACGGGUGAGUAACACGUGGGUGAUCUGCCCUGCACUUCGGGAUAAGCCUGGGAAACUGGGUCUAAUACCGGAUAGGAGCCAUUUUUAGUGUGAUGGUUGGAAAGUUUUUUCGGUGUAGGGUGAGCUCGCGGCCUAUCAGCUUGUUGGUGGGGUAAUGGCCUACCAAGGGGGCGACGGGUAGCCGGCCUGGGAGGGUGGACGGCCACAUUGGGACUGAGGGACGGCCCAGACUCCUACGGGAGGCAGCAGUGGAGAAUAUUGCACAAUGGGCGCAAGCCUGAUGCAGCGACGCCGCGUGGGGGAUGACGGCCUUCGGGUUGUAAACUCCUUUCGCUAGGGACGAAGCUUUUUGUGACGGUACCUAGAUAAGAAGCACCGGCUAACUCCGUG
rnacentral:rRNA from 1 species